rnacentral:lncRNA from 1 species
GAGGGGUUGGGCGGUGUUAAUCGUGAGCUGGUCCGGUCUUGUCUCCUGACGAGGGGAAGCCCGCUCUGUUUUACAUUUCGCAUGACUAUAUUAGUAUGUAUAUGUUUAAUGUAAUUAAUUGCGCUUCUUUAUGUCGUGCUUAGAAAACUAUUAAUUGCUCCAGUCACUGGACCAGUGUAUCAAUUUUAUUUCUUUAGCUCAACAAAGUUGCAUAAGUGAAGUGGGGAGGACGGCGGACGGGCGGCCGGAGGUGCAGCGGGAGGGAAGGUCGCCUCAGGGAAAACUGAGAGAAGUGAUGCCCAGCAAUAGAGAGACACUUCUGUCGGGGUCGAGCUGUUUUUUCAUGGCGCCAUUGGCAGCCAGGCGUGCCACCUGCUCCGGACCUCUCUCUGCUGUGGCCAGACGGAACAGCUGGCCGCUCUUCUGACGCUCUGAUUGGCUAAUCCCCGCUGGUCACUUGUGCUCUUCCUCCUCGCCUGUCAUUGAACUUUCUCUCAAUUAGUGCCAGGUUUGUGCUUCCUUCACAGGGGCUGCCCU